rnacentral:lncRNA from 1 species
CUCCCAGCCCUGCGCCGCCUGUGCCUCCGAGCCCCGCGCCACCAUCUCCGGAGCCGCCUAGCCCUGCGCCUCCCUCGCCGGAGCCUCCCAGCCCUGCGCCGCCUGUGCCUCCGAGCCCCGCGCCGCCUUCGCCGGAGCCACCUAGCCCUGCGCCUCCCUCGCCGGAGCCUCCCAGCCCUGCGCCGCCUGUGCCUCCGAGCCCCGCGCCGCCUUCUCCGGAGCCGCCUAGCCCUGCGCCUCCGUCGCCGGAGCCUCCCAGCCCUGCGCCGCCUGUGCCUCCGAGCCCCGCGCCGCCUUCUCCGGAGCCACCUAGCCCUGCGCCACCGUCGCCGGAGCCUCCCAGCCCUGCGCCGCCUGUGCCUCCGAGCCCCGCGCCGCCUUCUCCGGAGCCACCUAGCCCUGCGCCACCGUCGCCGGAGCCUCCCAGCCCUGCGCCGCCUGUGCCUCCGAGCCCCGCGCCGCCUUCUCCGGAGCCGCCUAGCCCUGCGCCUCCGUCGCCGGAGCCUCCCAGCCCUGCGCCGCCUGUGCCUCCGAGCCCCGCGCCGCCAUCUCCGGCGCCGCCUAGCCCUGCGCCUCCGUCGCCGGAGCCUCCCAGCCCUGCGCCGCCUGUGCCUCCGAGCCCCGCGCCGCCAUCUCCGGAGCCGCCUAGCCCUGCGCCUCCCUCGCCGGAGCCUCCCAGCCCUGCGCCGCCUGUGCCUCCGAGCCCCGCGCCGCCUUCUCCGGAGCCGCCUAGCCCUGCGCCUCCGUCGCCGGAGCCUCCCAGCCCUGCGCCGCCUGUGCCUCCGAGCCCCGCGCCGCCAUCUCCGGCGCCGCCUAGCCCUGCGCCUCCGUCGCCGGAGCCUCCCAGCCCUGCGCCGCCUGUGCCUCCGAGCCCCGCGCCGCCUUCUCCGGAGCCACCUAGCCCUGCGCCUCCGUCGCCGGAGCCUCCCAGCCCUGCGCCGCCUGUGCCUCCGAGCCCCGCGCCGCCUUCUCCGGCGCCGCCUAGCCCUGCGCCUCCGUCGCCGGAGCCUCCCAGCCCUGCGCCGCCUGUGCCUCCGAGCCCCGCGCCGCCAUCUCCGGCGCCGCCUAGCCCUGCGCCUCCGUCGCCGGAGCCUCCCAGCCCUGCGCCGCCUGUGCCUCCGAGCCCCGCGCCGCCUUCUCCGGAGCCGCCUAGCCCUGCGCCACCGUCGCCGGAGCCUCCCAGCCCUGCGCCGCCUGUGCCUCCGAGCCCCGCGCCGCCUUCGCCGGAGCCGCCUAGCCCUGCGCCUCCCUCGCCGGAGCCUCCCAGCCCUGCGCCGCCUGUGCCUCCGAGCCCCGCGCCGCCUUCUCCGGAGCCGCCUAGCCCUGCGCCUCCGUCGCCGGAGCCUCCCAGCCCUGCGCCGCCUGUGCCUCCGAGCCCCGCGCCGCCAUCGCCGGAGCCGCCUAGCCCUGCGCCUCCGUCGCCGGAGCCUCCCAGCCCUGCGCCGCCUGUGCCUCCGAGCCCCGCGCCGCCUUCUCCGGAGCCGCCUAGCCCUGCGCCUCCGUCGCCGGAGCCUCCCAGCCCUGCGCCGCCUGUGCCUCCGAGCCCCGCGCCGCCAUCGCCGGAGCCGCCUAGCCCUGCGCCUCCGUCGCCGGAGCCUCCCAGCCCUGCGCCGCCUGUGCCUCCGAGCCCCGCGCCGCCUUCUCCGGAGCCGCCUAGCCCUGCGCCUCCGUCGCCGGAGCCUCCCAGCCCUGCGCCGCCUGUGCCUCCGAGCCCCGCGCCGCCUUCUCCGGAGCCGCCUAGCCCUGCGCCUCCCUCGCCGGAGCCUCCCAGCCCUGCGCCGCCUGUGCCUCCGAGCCCCGCGCCGCCUUCUCCGGAGCCACCUAGCCCUGCGCCACCGUCGCCGGAGCCUCCCAGCCCUGCGCCGCCUGUGCCUCCGAGCCCCGCGCCGCCUUCUCCGGAGCCGCCUAGCCCUGCGCCUCCGUCGCCGGAGCCUCCCAGCCCUGCGCCGCCUGUGCCUCCGAGCCCCGCGCCGCCUUCUCCGGAGCCACCUAGCCCUGCGCCUCCUUCGCCGGAGCCUCCCAGCCCUGCGCCGCCUGUGCCUCCGAGCCCCGCGCCGCCUUCUCCGGAGCCGCCUAGCCCUGCGCCACCGUCGCCGGAGCCUCCCAGCCCUGCGCCGCCUGUGCCUCCGAGCCCCGCGCCGCCUUCGCCGGAGCCGCCUAGCCCUGCGCCUCCCUCGCCGGAGCCUCCCAGCCCUGCGCCGCCUGUGCCUCCGAGCCCCGCGCCGCCUUCUCCGGAGCCACCUAGCCCUGCGCCUCCCUCGCCGGAGCCUCCCAGCCCUGCGCCGCCUGUGCCUCCGAGCCCCGCGCCGCCAUCUC